AUACGGAGGGUGCAAGCGUUAAUCGGAAUUACUGGGCGUAAAGGGCGCGUAGGCGGUCUAUCAAGUCAGGUGUGAAAUCCCACGGCUCAACCGUGGAGGUGCAUCUGAAACUGAUAGACUUGAGUAUGGGAGAGGAAAGUGGAAUUCCCGGUGUAGAGGUGAAAUUCGUAGAUAUCGGGAGGAACACCAGUGGCGAAGGCGACUUUCUGGACCAAUACUGACGCUGAGGCGCGAAAGCGUGGGGAGCUAACAGGAUUAGAUACCCUAGUAGUCC
rnacentral:rRNA from 1 species